UUGUUGUAGUAUCUUCGAGUCUGCCUGCCUAAAGCGCUGCAAUGGCAAUCAGACCGAUAGGGUAAGAAUGGAAACUUUCUUGCCUCCCGUGUUUGGAAAGGAGAUUAACACAACAACAC
rnacentral:ncRNA from 1 species